rnacentral:tRNA from 1 species
AUUCUUUAUUCAAUUAUGAUUUUAAAUUGCAAAUUUAAAGGUAACUAACAUAUGUUAAGAAUUUU